UACGGAGGGUGCAACCGUUGCUCGGAAUCAUUGGGCGUAAAGCGCACGUAGGCGGACCGCUAAGUCGGAUGUGAAAGCCCUCGGCUUAACUGUGGGCUUGCGGUCGAUACGGGCAUCACUGGAGUUCGGCAGGGGAGACUGGAAUUCCUGGUGUAGCGGUGAAAUGCGCAGAUAUCAGGAGGAACACCGAUGGCGAAGGCAGGUCUCUGGGCAUUAACUGACGCUGAGGAGCGAAAGCAUGGGGAGCGAACAGG
rnacentral:rRNA from 1 species